rnacentral:rRNA from 1 species
UACGGGGGGGGCAAGCGUUGUUCGGAAUUACUGGGCGUAAAGGGCUCGUAGGCGGCCAACUAAGUCAUACGUGAAAUCCCUCGGCUUAACCGGGGAACUGCGUCUGAUACUGGAUGGCUUGAGAUUGGGAGAGGGAUGCGGAAUUCCAGGUGUAGCGGUGAAAUGCGUAGAUAUUUGGAGGAACACCGGUGGCGAAGGCGGCAUCCUGGACCAACACUGACGCUGAGGAGCGAAAGCCAGGGGAGCAAACGGG